rnacentral:rRNA from 1 species
CACGUAGGGCGCGAGCGUUGUCCGGAAUUAUUGGGCGUAAAGAGCUCGUAGGCGGCCUGUUGCGUCCGCUGUGAAAGCCCGGGGCUUAACCCCGGGUCUGCAGUGGAUACGGGCAGGCUAGAGGUAGGUAGGGGAGAAUGGAAUUCCCGGUGUAGCGGUGAAAUGCGCAGAUAUCAGGAGGAACACCGGUGGCGAAGGCGGGUCUCUGGGCCGUAACUGACGCUGAGGAGCGAAAGCGUGGGGAGCGAACAGG